AUUGAACGCUGGCGGCAGGCCUAACACAUGCAAGUCGAACGAGUGGCGGACGGGUGCGUAAUGUCUGGGACACUGCCCGAUGGAUGGGGAUAACUACUGGAAACGGUAGCUAAUACCGCAUACCAUCGGAUGUGCCCAGAUGGGGUUAGCUAGUAGGUGGGGUAACGGCUCACCUUGGAUACGAGCCCUAGCUGUUCUGAGAGGAUGACCAGCAACACUGGAACUGAGACACGGUCCAGACUCCUACGGGAGGCAGCAGUGGGGAAUAUUGCACAAUGGGCGAAAGCCUGAUGCAGCCAUGCCGCGUGUGUGAAGAAGGCCUUCGGGUUGUAAAGUACUUUCAGCGAGGAGGCGUUACUCGCAGAGGAAGCACCGGCUAACUCCGUGCCAGCAGCCGCGGUAAUAC
rnacentral:rRNA from 1 species